UCUGAAAAUCUUCCAACACCUCCUUCACAUCAGUCCCUGUGCCUUGGGAAGAUCAAGUUCUGAUAUAGAUGUCCUGUCCCUAGCUGAGCAUCAUGCAGUUUCUUUUGCUCUGAACCCUUGUUAGCUGUGGAUAUCUUUGUUAAAUCGUCAUUCUGGGCCCAUGAGUGUCAGAAUCAUUCACAUUCACAGAGUUCUUUGAAUAUGAAAACCCAGUAUCUUGCUACGCAUGGAGUAUGGGUGAAGAGGUCACAGAAAUAUGGAUGACUUCAAAACCACCAAGUCCCUGAAAACUACCCCAGCAUGUAUGUCACUCAUGAAAACUGCCUCAUCUUCUCAGUAGUCGUUACUGCUGAUAUGAACUCAUCAGCAUCACUAGCUCCAGGAGCUUCCUAAGACUUGUGAUCAUAAUGAAGUAAUUAGCUUUGUUUCAGAAGAAACUUUGGCCUUUUAAGAGUCUCCAGGAUGCUUAUGACAAAGGGGUAUUUUCAAUUUGAACUAAAUGUAUUUUGCAUCAUGGAAAAACGAGGAGUUCAUGGAGACGAGGGAUGUAAUACAGUUUGGAUGAGAAUAUUUCCCAUAAGCUUUUGCAUUAGGUCGUCUGGCACCUAAUUGGUGGUGCUGCUUAGAGAAAUUGGAGACAGAGUUUCGAUGGAGGAAAUAUAUCAGUGUGAGAUGGGCUUUGAGAGUUGAUUGUCUUGCUUUGAUUUUUUUUUUCUC